UGAAAUAGAAAUAAAUAAUCUGACAAGG
rnacentral:piRNA from 1 species